UUUAUGGAGAGUUUGAUCCUGGCUCAGGACGAACGCUGGCGGCGUGCCUAAUACAUGCAAGUCGAGCGAACAGAGAAGGAGCUUGCUCCUUCGACGUUAGCGGCGGACGGGUGAGUAACACGUGGGCAACCUACCUUAUAGUUUGGGAUAACUCCGGGAAACCGGGGCUAAUACCGAAUGAUCUAUUUCACUUCAUGGUGAAAUACUGAAAGACGGUUUCGGCUGUCGCUAUAAGAUGGGCCCGCGGCGCAUUAGCUAGUUGGUGAGGUAACGGCUCACCAAGGCGACGAUGCGUAGCCGACCUGAGAGGGUGAUCGGCCACACUGGGACUGAGACACGGCCCAGACUCCUACGGGAGGCAGCAGUAGGGAAUCUUCCACAAUGGGCGAAAGCCUGAUGGAGCAACGCCGCGUGAGUGAAGAAGGUUUUCGGAUCG
rnacentral:rRNA from 1 species